AUUUGAUGAUGUAACUACUGUUUAAACAGUACUUUUGGAAAAAUAGCUUUAGCAAAGUUGGGAAUGUCGCAUCAGAACUUAGGUUGUAUAAGUUUUUGGGGUUAUAUUGUGACAUCCAAACGAUAUUUGAUGAUUUCAUGUUAUUUUGUGUUGCAUUGGUAGUUUAGUAUGCUGAA